UACAUGACUUUGUUCCUUGUGAUCUGUCAUCUCUCUACUGAUUUAAAAGGUGGAAUCCAAACAAUACAUGAGAUAUCCAUAUGAAAUAGUAAAUAAAAUCUAAGAGUAGUCAAUCAGGUAGCAUAUGAGAGAUUCAUACCAGCAGCAUAUCCCUAUUACGGAGCAGCAUUUUCAAUGAUGACAGGUUUCUUCAUCUUCACUGCUGUUCAUCUAUACCACAAGUAGUUGUAAACCCUUUGAUCCAAGAUAAUGUAGUAUGUAGCACCAUAACGAUUGGAUUUGAAUGCUAAGAUUGAAAAUUUUGACUAGGAUAUAAAAUGCAAAUUUCUAAUUUAUUAUA